UGGGACAUAGCGCAGCUUGGUAGCGCACUACCUUGGGGUGGUAGGGGUCGUGAGUUCAAAUCUCACUGUUCCAACCA
rnacentral:tRNA from 2 species